AUGUGGAGAGACAGAGGGUUUGGAGCAUGCUCCAUAGGCUUCAGAACCCCUCCUCUCCCCUGCUUUCCUUCCCUCCCUCCCUCCCUCCCUCCCUCCCUCCCUCCCUCCCUCCCUCCCUCCCUCCCUCCUCCACCUCCUCCUAUCCUUUACCUUUCCCCCCAGUCCCAGGGAAAUCUUAGUGGGGUGAAAGGGAACAAGGCAGGGAAGGACUUUGCGGUGGGAUGGAGCUGGGAGGGUCAGGCUGGGGAAAUCACCACGCUGGGAAACUGGGGGUAUCACACAUGGCUGCUCCUUGAAUGUUCUGUGAGUGAGCAGCCCUGCUGUUCGGCCCAGAACCUGCUGGUCUGGGGAUUCUCAUCAGCGACAGACCUGCCCCACACUCUCCUGGUUCUGGUUGGACGAGACCACUGCUUGACUUGCCAUCACGUGCUUGCAGAGUCCCAGGGAGCAGCAGCGACCCCAGCAGAAGCUGGAGGAGAGAAGGGGGACGUCUCCUCCUCUUCACACAGCCCCAGCCAGAGCUCUGAGGGCAACAUGCUGUUCCCCAAGGGUGUUCUAAGCCACUGUGCUCUCAGCUGUAUCCAGGGUCUCCUUUCCUCCUUCCUUGCAGCAGGUGGGUGUGGGGUUUGAGCUAGCCUACUCUUCACAGGGGGUGUGGUGGAGCAGCAGCCUGGCAUUCACUUCUCUUCCUCUCCCAGCUCAGGGUUGUUCUGGCUGUCACUGCUGGCUGUCACAGUCCCUGUCCCUCACUGACAGGCAAACAUGGAGAG
rnacentral:lncRNA from 1 species